rnacentral:rRNA from 1 species
UACGUAGGGGGCUAGCGUUAUCCGGAAUUACUGGGCGUAAAGGGUGCGUAGGUGGUUUCUUAAGUCAGAGGUGAAAGGCUACGGCUCAACCGUAGUAAGCCUUUGAAACUGGGGAACUUGAGUGCAGGAGAGGAGAGUGGAAUUCCUAGUGUAGCGGUGAAAUGCGUAGAUAUAUGGAGGAACACCGGUGGCGAAAGCGGCUCUCUGGCCUGUAACUGACACUGAGGCUCGAAAGCGUGGGGAGCAAACAGG